rnacentral:rRNA from 1 species
UAGCAGAGGUCGUCAAGCGUUGUUCGGAUUCAUUGGGCGUAAAGGGUGCGUAGGUGGCGCGGUAAGUCGGGUGUGAAAUUUCGGAGCUUAACUCCGAAACUGGCAUUCGAUACUGCCGGUGCUUGAGGACUGGAGAGGAGACUGGAAUUUACGGUGUAGCAGUGAAAUGCGUAGAGAUCGUAAGGAAGACCAGUGGCGAAGGCGGGUCUCUGGGACAGUUCC